GGGAAGAGUGGUUUUAAAUACUGGACAUGAACUACUGGGCUGAUGGAAAUUUUGCCUGUGCAUAGAAGCAUCCCAUUUUCUCCAAAUAACUCUCCUAAUAACCUUCAAAAGCCUUGAAGAUUUUAAGUGAAAAGACAUCUGUGAUAUUUUGAACACAAUGCCAUUAUCAAAUGCUCAGCCAUUUUAAGGAUCUGUAAGCAGGCUAAGUAGCACAUAAACCAGUGUGUUAGAAAUCAGUGAGAUCAAGUUUUUCCAUCUUUACAGAUACAAAGAAUGACGGAUUCUGAUGACACUUAACUCCAGGGAAGGAAGGAAGGAUAUUAAGUAAGGCAGGUAAUUCUGCUUAUCCUUCUAGUCAAUGAACAUCAGUGUGAGUUUUCUGUUCCCUUGUGGGCCAAAGUAUGCCCUCAACUCUCCUGGUGUGACCAUCUACUUCUCCUGAUUGUAACUCUAGUAUAUAAAUAGACAUAUUUUUCAAACAAUUUGACUCCUAAACAUAAGCCAUAUCCCAUCAUCUGGUAUUUAAAUGAGGAAAUGAUCGCUGGAGCUUUUGCAAGAAGAAAAGAGUACCUGUGUUGGAUUCACUGAACAAGGUCACUGAAUUCUACUUUGUGGGUUAAUUUGUAGGAUUUUGGAGGGGGGAUAGUUGUGACUUUUAUUAUCUUUUUACUUUGACUUUAAAACUUUUUAAUAAUCAGAUAAGAUUUAACCUAAAGGGUAAAAUGUUCUCAUCAUUUAAUUAAAUAGUGGGGAAGUAUUCCCUAAAACUUUUUUUUUUUUUUGGAAGAAAAUGAUAAGAAUGUAGAGAUUCUAGGAAAGGACAUGACAAUCACUGCAUGGAUUGUUGAGUAAUUUUAUCUAGAUCAAUAAGAUUAAACACAUGUAAUAGAAACCCAUUUAAAUGAAAGGUAGAGGUAUUGACUUUAAGUUUGUCAUGUUUAUAUGACUAUCUAGAAAACUCAACAAAGGUAUAGAAAUAUAUGAAUGGUUGGAAAUCUCAGUGUGUUCCUCAGAAAGCGGCUCCUCCUGGACUUGUGCUGGCAGAUAGAAUCUUCAAGAAGCAAUAUGCCAAAGUGGUUGCUCCUGGGAACUUGGAAGAUAAUAAAAGCAAACCUCUUUAAUCCUUUAAUGUCAUUUUCUUUUGCGAUUUGUAUGUUUCUUAGAAACUCUGAGUGCUCUCUGAGUGGGAAAUGGAGAAAUGUGGUAGUCACUCUAGUUGUCAUUUACAGUUCUUUGCUUAUAGGAAUUUGAGACAUGUGAGUGACAAGGUGAAUAUGUAAGAGAAGAGAAAUGUGGAAUGAU